AUACGGAGGAUCCGAGCAUUAUCCGGAUUUAUUGGGUUUAAAGGGUGCGCAGGCGGGAGAUUAAGUCGGCGGUGAAAUUUUGCAGCUCAACUGUAAAAGUGCCUUCGAAACUGGGUUCCUUGAGUGUAGAUGAAGUAGGCGGAAUUUGUGGUGUAGCGGUGAAAUGCAUAGAUAUAACGAGGAACUCCGAUUGCGCAGGCAGCUUACUAAACUACUACUGACGCUCAGGCACGAAGGCGUGGGGAUCAAACAGGAUUAGAUACCCUGGUAGUCCACGCAGUAAACGAUGAUUACUAGCUGUUUGCGAUACAAUGUAAGCGGCUGAGCGAAAGCGUUAAGUAAUCCACCUGGGGAGUACGUUCGCAAGAAUGAAACUCAAAGGAAUUGGCGGGU
rnacentral:rRNA from 1 species